CGAAGUUCAAUUGAAUUGAGGUCAUUCUAUUCUCAAAUCGUAGAGGUAAUCACACAAGUUUAACACCAAAAUGCAUAAUGAGAACUUUUUAGGUGAGCUCAGACCAAAGACCUACUGUAGAAAUAUAAACAGCAAAAAUCAAUUGUACAAUGCGCAAUCAAGUUUUUAAAUUUAAUCAACUAGGUAAUUAAGGAGCAUUGGUAAAUGGGG
rnacentral:misc_RNA from 1 species